rnacentral:rRNA from 1 species
UAGGGAAUCUUCCACAAUGGACGCAAGUCUGAUGGAGCAACGCCGCGUGAGUGAAGAAGGUUUUCGGAUCGUAAAGCUCUGUUGUUGGUGAAGAAGGAUAGAGGCAGUAACUGGUCUUUAUUUGACGGUAAUCAACCAGAAAGUCACGGCUAACUACGUGCCAGCAGCCGCGGUAAUACGUAGGUGGCAAGCGUUGUCCGGAUUUAUUGGGCGUAAAGCGAGCGGAGGCGGAAUGAUAAGUCUGAUGUGAAAGCCCACGGCUCAACCGUGGAACUGCAUCGGAAACUGUCAUUCUUGAGUGCAGAAGAGGAGAGUGGAAUUCCAUGUGUAGCGGUGGAAUGCGUAGAUAUAUGGAAGAACACCAGUGGCGAAGGCGGCUCUCUGGUCUGCAACUGACGCUGAGGCUCGAAAGCAUGGGUAGCGAACAGG